rnacentral:rRNA from 1 species
GACGGAGGAAAAGAAACUAACGAGGAUUCCCCGAGUAGCGGCGAGCGAAACGGGAAGAGCCCAGCGCUGAAUCCUGCGGCCCCGGCGGGCCGCCGGGAAAUGUAGCGUUCGGGAGGAGAGUUAUACAUACACGCGCGGUCAUUAGUCACGGCUGCCUGUCCAAGUUCAUCUUGAACGGGGCCCGCUUACCCGCAGAGGGUGCCAGGCCCGUGGUGACGGUAGCCGGCCGCGACGGUCUCUCUCCCUAGAGUCGGGUUGCUUGAGAGUGCAGCCCUAAGUGGGUGGUAAACUCCAUCUAAGGCUAAAUACUACCACGAGACCGAUAGCGAACAAGUACCGUGAGGGAAAGUUGAAAAGAACUUUGAAGAGAGAGUUAAAGAGUACGUGAAACCGUUCAGGGGUAAACCUGUGGAACUCAAACGAGCGAACGGGGAGAUUCAUCGUGUCUUCCGUCGGGGCUCGCGCCUCGCGCAAACCUUCGCCUUCGGCUCUCGGGUCGGGGCGGCGGGUGCGCGGGUGCGUCGUCAGGCUCCCGGAGCGCGUGCACUUCUCCCUUAGUAUAACACCGCGACCCGUCGCGCCGCGGUCGAAUGCGCCGUGCGGUUGACCCGUCUCGCUCUGCGAGGCGGAGCCGCGGUGUCCACGGCCGCGGCGUACAUUACGCAGCGACGGUAGAGAACGAGGAUCGCGUCCGCCCCCAGCGGGCGUCCGUCGCGCUGCAGCGGCGUCCUUCGCGUGGCCCCCGGCGUCUAGUGCGUCGCGGGUGUCGCGAGUCGGGUGUCCGUCGUUAGCGGCGCGCUCUCGGACGGGACGCGUCCCGGUCGGCGGUGGUUUUGUUUUGGGCACUCACAGGACCCGUCUUGAAACACGGACCAAGGAGUCUAGCAUGUGCGCGAGUCAUUGGGAACACUGAUAAACCCAGAGGCGAAAUGAAAGUGAAAGGCCGGCCUCGAGCCGGUCGCAGGGAAGAUGCGCGGGCGUCGUCAGACGCCCCGCCGCAUUCCCGAGGCGUUUCGAGAAAGCCCCCGUGCGAUUAUCGAGACGCACUGAGAGCGUACACGCUGGGACCCGAAAGAUGGUGAACUAUGCCUGGUCAGGUCGAAGUCAGGGGAAACCCUGAUGGAGGACCGAAGCGAUUCUGACGUGCAAAUCGAUCGUCCGAACUGGGUAUAGGGGCGAAAGACUAAUCGAACUAUCUAAUAGCUGGUUCCAUCCGAAGUUUCCCUCAGGAUAGCUGGCGCUCGAGAAACAUGACGGUUUUCGGACCGCCAUUCGCACAGUCUCAUCCGGUAAAGCGAAUGAUUAGAGGCAUUGGGGCCGAAAUGGCCUCAACCUAUUCUCAAACUUUAAAUGGGUGAGAUCUCCUUCUUGCUCGAAGAUGAAGUAGGAGCUCGGAUGGGAGUGCCAAGUGGGCCAAUUUUGGUAAGCAGAACUGGCGCUGUGGGAUGAACCAAACGUCGAGUUAAGGCGCCCAAUGAACGCUCAUCGGAUACCAUAAAAGGCGUUGGUCGCUCAGGACAGCAGGACGGUGGCCAUGGAAGUCGGAAUCCGCUAAGGAGUGUGUAACAACUCACCUGCCGAAGCAACCAGCCCUGAAAAUGGAUGGCGCUGUAGCGUUCAGCCUAUACUCGACCGUUGCAGGCAAGCGGGGCGCUCGUGCGGCUCCGGCCGCGCGAUCGUUUUGAAGCCGCAACGAGUAGGAUGGCCGCGGCGGUGUGCGCAGAAGGGUCUGGGCGUGAGCCCGCCUGGAGCCUCCGUCGGCGCAGAUCUUGGUGGUAGUAGCAAAUACUCAAGCGAGGUCCUUGAGGGCUGAUGUGGAGAAGGGUUUCGCGUUAACAGCCGUUGCACGCGAGUUAGUCGAUCCUAAGCCCUAGGAGAAAUCCGAUGUUGAUGAUGGUGUAAAGUUAUAAACCGUUAAAAAAGUUUUUUCUUAAAAGUACACCCGUCGGGCGAAAGGGAAUCCGGUUGCAGUUCCGGAACCCGGCUGCGGAACCGUCUUAAAAAUCGUUCCCUCGCAAGAGAGUUCGUCGGGGUGACCCAAAGUGGCCUGAAGACGCCGACGGGAGAUCCGGAGAGAGUUAUCUUUUCUGCCUGAGCGUUCGAGCGCCCUGGAAUCCCAUAGCGGGGAGAUAGGGCUCGGGACGCGAAGAGCAUCGCCGAUGCGGCGGUGUCCGGAUCGGCCCCUCGGACCUUGAAAAUUCAGGUGAGGGAUACGCGGAGAUGUCGCGCCGGCUCGUACCCAUAUCCGCAGCAGGUCUCACAAGGUGAAGAGCCUCUAGCCGUG